GAUGAACGCUGGCGGCGUGCUUAACACAUGCAAGUCGAACGAAGCUGCUUAACUGAUCUUCUUCGGAAUUGACGUUUUGUAGACUGAGUGGCGGACGGGUGAGUAACGCGUGGGUAACCUACCCUGUACAGGGGGAUAACAGUCAGAAAUGACUGCUAAUACCGCAUAAGACCACAGCACCGCAUGGUGCAGGGGUAAAAACUCCGGUGGUACAGGAUGGACCCGCGUCUGAUUAGCUGGUUGGUGAGGUAACGGCUCACCAAGGCGACGAUCAGUAGCCGGCUUGAGAGAGUGAACGGCCACAUUGGGACUGAGACACGGCCCAAACUCCUACGGGAGGCAGCAGUGGGGAAUAUUGCACAAUGGGGGAAACCCUGAUGCAGCGACGCCGCGUGAGUGAAGAAGUAUUUCGGUAUGUAAAGCUCUAUCAGCAGGGAAGAAAAUGACGGUACCUGACUAAGAAGCCCCGGCU
rnacentral:rRNA from 1 species